CCUGUACUGCACACCCAGCCAGGAUCUGCAGUCAUGAAGCUAUUCGAGCGUUGUGCCUCCAGCUUGCACAACAUGAUCUUCACUAAAAGGCCAUACAGUAUGUCUUCAACAGCUGCCAGACAAAAUUUCAUACGGCCCUUAUCUUCUUCUUUGUGCCGGGGCCCAAUACAUCACACUGCCACUUGGUCAAUCACAGGCGGGACUGGCAAUUAGCGGCGCCGCAGUGUUAAGUGUUGACCACAAGAAAAAGGAAGAGGAUAGCUGCGGAGGCUGGCAGCAGGAUACCGGAGGCACUGGGGGUGUGGUGGGUGGUCAGGAUUUGAGAAGCCCAGAGCCCGUGUAACAGUAACAGCUCUGUGUACUGCAAGCCAUCCGGAAAACAGACCUUCUGGCAAAUGUGAGACCCUGAACUGACGAAGCAGAAAAGGAAUUCUCUCAUCUCUAAAAACUUCAACAAGUGAUAUUUACAUCUGCUCCUCUGUAGUUUGGCAUAUACAAGGUUGUAGUUAAAAUGAAGAAACUUCUAGAACUUUUUCUUUUAUGUGUUAAGGUGAAAUUAAAUGUUAAAAAUAUCUGGUGUGCAGUGCUAAGAUUCUCAUACUGUUAGCAUUAAGACAACUUAAAGUCUACCUUUCACGAUAAGCUGCAGCCGGAUAUAC